rfam:Desulfobacteraceae bacterium IS3 Ga0073107_10948, whole genome shotgun sequence.
CAGUCGGUGCAAGUCCGAUCCGAUGAAUCUGUCAUUCACAUCGGAAGCGAAGGGAACAGCUUACACGGCGACGUAUCAGGCUGAAGCUUCCCGGAGCAGUCAGCAAGCCGUAACGCGA